rnacentral:rRNA from 1 species
AAGUCGAACGGUAACAGGAAGCAGCUUGCUGCUUUGCUGACGAGUGGCGGACGGGUGAGUAAUGUCUGGGAAACUGCCUGAUGGAGGGGGAUAACUACUGGAAACGGUAGCUAAUACCGCAUAACGUCGCAAGACCAAAGAGGGGGACCUUAGGGCCUCUUGCCAUCGGAUGUGCCCAGAUGGGAUUAGCUAGUAGGUGGGGUAACGGCUCACCUAGGCGACGAUCCCUA